GCACUAUAGAGGAUGUAAGGUUAUUUAGUUAAUUAGUUACACUGUUUGAUUAAAAUAAAUCUUUAAAGAUCUUUUUAUUCAGUUGCUUAAAACAAAUUAUUUUGUUUUAUUCAAAUAGACUUAGUGGUGAGAUCUCUAGGCUUUUUAAAUACUACAAUUACUUUUAAUUAAGAAAGUAAUUGUAAUAUUUAUAAUAUUUUUAUUUUAAGUAUUAUAAAUAUUAAAAAAGCGCUCCAGAUAGAAUAACGCUCUAAAUGGGGAAAACAUUAUGUUUUUAGUCUAUAUAUUAAUUGCUCAAUAAUAUGGGUAAGCAGUGUAGCGUCAAUUUUAUUGAGUAAAAUUCUAGAUAGUGAUAGUAUGAUUAUGACAAAAAACUAUCUAUAAGUCUUGACCAAAAUACAUGCCAGCAGUCGCGGUAAGAUGUAAAAGACUAGUGUUAUUCAUCUUUAAUAGGUUUAAAGGGUACCUAGACGGUUUAUUAAGUCUUUAAUAGGAUACGAAUAAUCUAGAGUUAUAUAUAAGGAGGUGAGUAUUUAUGGAGUAGAGUUGAAAUUCGUUGAUACCAUAACGACUGGUAAAGGCGAAAGCAACCUUUUAUCUAAUAACUGACGUUGAGGAACGAAGGCUUGGGUAGCGAACAGGAUUAGAUACCCUAGUAGUCCUUGCAGAAAAUGAUGAAUGCCAUAGGUUAGAUGUUAAUUUAGUCUAUAAAUGAAAGUGUAAGCAUUUCACCUCAAGAGUAAUGCGGCAACGCAGGAACUGAAAUCAUUAGACCGUUUCUGAAACCAGUAGUGAAGUAUGUUAUUUAAUUCGUAUUUACGCGAAAAACCUUACCACAACUUGAAUAUUAUCAACUAUGAUAUUACAAGUGUUGCAUGGCUGUCUGCAGUUAAUGUCGUGAGAUUUGGAUAGCUCCUUGAAUUAACGGAAACCCUUACUUUAGUUGAAAAUAAUAAUAAAGUAGUACAAAUAUCUAUAAUGGAAAGUUGUAUAAAUAGGGACUAAUACAAG
rnacentral:rRNA from 1 species